rnacentral:rRNA from 1 species
UACGUAGGGGGCUAGCGUUGUCCGGAAUCAUUGGGCGUAAAGCGCGUGUAGGCGGUCCGGUAAGUCCGCUGUGAAAGUCGGGGGCUCAACCCUCGGCUUAACCGGGGAACUGCGUCUGAUACUGGUUGGCUUGAAUCCGGGAGAGGGAUGUGGAAUUCCAGGUGUAGCGGUGAAAUGCGUAGAUAUCUGGAGGAACACCGGUGGCGAAGGCGGCAUCCUGGACCGGUAUUGACGCUGAGGAGCGAAAGCCAGGGGAGCAAACGGG